UUGACGUCUGUUGACCAAUUGUGGAAAAUGUCCCAGUGCAUUAAAUCAAACGCACUGAUCCCCAUAGCAAUCGUUAUUUGAGCAGUAGGCCU